rnacentral:rRNA from 1 species
GAUGAACGCUGGCGGCGUGCCUAAUACAUGCAAGUCGAGCGAACCGACGAGGAGCUUGCUCCUCUGACGUUAUCGGCGGACGGGUGAGUCACACGUGGAUAACCUACCUCUAAGACUGGGAUAACUUCGGGAAACCGGAGCUAAUACCGGAUAAUAUAUUGCACCGCAUGGUUCCAUAGUGAAAGACGGUUUUGCUGUCACUUAUAGAUGGAUCCGCGCCUCAUCAGCUUGUUGGUAAGGUGACGGCUUACCAAGGCAACGAUGCGUAGCCGACCUGAGAGGGUGAAUGGCCAGCCUGGCAGUGAGACAGGGCCCAGACUCCUACGGGAGGAAGCAGUAGGGAAUCUUCCGCGAUGCGGGAGAGCCGGACGGAGCAACACCGCGGAAGUGAUGAAGGUGUUCGGAUGGGAAAACGAUGUUAUUAGGGAAGAACAAAUGUGUAAGUACCUAUGCACGUCUUGACGGUACCGAAUCAGAAAGCCACGGCUAACUACGUG